rnacentral:sRNA from 1 species
GUAACUCUGUUCAGACCUCCAUGUGUGUUCCUCCCAAAGCUUCAAGCUCAGUCAAAGAGGACAGCCAUCCCUGACAUAGGAGGACAGUUCUUCAAACAAGGGUACAGGAGUAGCUGUGCAACGCUGCUAGAACCUCCAAACAAGCUCUCAAACCUCGGCUAAUGCACAACUUCAACAAUCUGCAUCCUACCUGUGGUAAAAAUGU